rnacentral:rRNA from 1 species
CAGUAGCCGCGGUAACACGAAGGGUGCAAGCGUUAAUCGGAAUUACUGGGCGUAAAGCGUGCGUAGGCGGUGAGUUAAGUCUGCUGUGAAAUCCCCGGGCUCAACCUGGGAAUGGCAGUGGAUACUGGCUCGCUAGAGUGUGUCAGAGGAUGGUGGAAUUCCCGGUGUAGCGGUGAAAUGCGUAGAGAUCGGGAGGAACAUCAGUGGCGAAGGCGGCCAUCUGGGACAACACUGACGCUGAGGCACGAAAGCGUGGGGAGCAAACAGGAUUAGAUACCCGGGUAGUCCCUGUCUCUUAUAA